GAUGAACGCUAGCUACAGGCUUAACACAUGCAAGUCGCAGGGUAACAUGAGGAAAGCUUGCUUUCCUUGAUGUCGACUGGCGCACGGGUGAGUAACGCGUAUCCAACCUUCCCAUAACUACGGGAUAACCCGUUGAAAGACGGCCUAAUACCGUAUGAUAUCGUUUGCUGACAUCCAAUAACGAUUAAAGGUUUAGCGGUUAUGGAUGGGGAUGCGUCUGAUUAGCUUGUUGGCGGGGUAACGGCCCACCAAGGCGACGAUCAGUAGGGGUUCUGAGAGGAAGGUCCCUCACAUUAGAACUGGGACACGGACCAAACGCCUACGGGAGGCAGCAGUGAGGAAUAGUGGUCAAUGGGCGAGAGCCUGAACCAGCCAAGUAGCGUGCAGGACGGCGGCCCUAUGGGUUGUAAACUGCUUUUAGGUGGGGAUAAAGUGCGUGACGUGUCAUGCAUUGCAGGUACCACAUGAAUAAGGACCGGCUAAUUCCGUG
rnacentral:rRNA from 1 species